AUAUUCCCCAUUUUGUCCCAAAAUGCCCUUAUGGUUUUAUAUAUAUAAAUAAAAAUAUAUUUUUAAAAAAAUAUAUAUAUAUAUAUAUAUAUUAUAUACAUAUGUAAAACCAUAAGGGCAUUUUGGGACAAAAUGGGGAAUAU
rnacentral:miRNA from 1 species